AUCCAGCUGACGAGUCCCAACUAGAAGGAAACGUGCCUCCUGGAU
rnacentral:hammerhead_ribozyme from 1 species